rnacentral:rRNA from 1 species
GACGAACGCUGGCGGCGUGCCUAAUACAUGCCAGUUGAGCGCUGAAGGUUGGUACUUGUACCAACUGGAUGAGCAGCGAACGGGUGAGUAACGCGUGGGGAAUCUGCCUUUGAGCGGGGGACAACAUUUGGAAACGAAUGCUAAUACCGCAUAAAAACUUUAAACACAAGUUUUAAGUUUGAAAGAUGCAAUUGCAUCACUCAAAGAUGAUCCCACGUUGUAUUAGCUAGUUGGUGAGGUAAAGGCUCACCAAGGCGAUGAUACAUAGCCGACCUGAGAGGGUGAUCGGCCACAUUGGGACUGAGACACGGCCCAAACUCCUACGGGAGGCAGCAGUAGGGAAUCUUCGGCAAUGGACGAAAGUCUGACCGAGCAACGCCGCGUGAGUGAAGAAGGUUUUCGGAUCGUAAAACUCUGUUGGUAGAGAAGAACGUUGGUGAGAGUGGAAAGCUCAUCAAGUGACGGUAACUACCCAGAAAGGGACGGCUAACUACGUG